AGCUGCUGCGCGAGGAGAAGGACGAGCUGGCCGAGCAGGUGCUGGCCCUCAAGGCACAGGUGGAGGCGCAGCUGCAGGUGGUGCAGAAGCUGGAGGA